rnacentral:rRNA from 1 species
GGCGAACGGGUGAGUAACACGUGGGUAAUCUGCCCUGCACUCUGGGAUAAGCCUGGGAAACUGGGUCUAAUACUGGAUAUGACCUUUCUCCUUAUGGGGUUUGGUGGAAAGUUUUUCGGUGUAGGAUGAGCCCGCGGUCUAUCAGCUUGUUGGUGGGGUGAUGGCCUACCAAGGCGACGACGGGUAGCCGGCCUGAGAGGGUGAUCGGCCACAUUGGGACUGAGAUACGGCCCAG